UACGUAGGGUGCGAGCGUUAAUCGGAAUUACUGGGCGUAAAGCGUGCGCAGGCGGUUUUGUAAGGCAGAUGUGAAAUCCCCGGGCUUAACCUGGGAAUGGCAUUUGGGACUGCAAGGCUGGAGUACGGCAGAGGAGACUGGAAUUCCUGGUGUAGCAGUGAAAUGCGUAGAGAUCAGGAGGAAUACCGAUGGCGAAGGCAGGUCUCUGGGCUGAUACUGACGCUCAUGCACGAAAGCGUGGGGAGCAAACAGG
rnacentral:rRNA from 1 species